rnacentral:rRNA from 1 species
CUGCGGAAGAUCAUUG